ACGGCGCGGCCGGCCGGCGGGCUGCGGGCGGUGCUGCCUGCCUCUGCGCUCCCGCACCCAGCGUGUUGCGGCCGCAGGGGCCUGGCGGGAGGCGCCGGGGCCGCCGCUGCAGCCCCCCGCCCGCCAGCCCGCGCCUCACAGCGGGCCGGGGCCGGGGCCGGGGCCAGGCGGGACCCGUGGCGCAGCGAGAGGCCCGGGCUGCGCGGGGCGGCGCCGAGCCACCUGUCCCAGCCACCUGUGCCCCGGCCCGCUGAGCCCCAACCCACCAAGGACACUCGUGCCCUUAACGGGGACAAACGAAAGGAGAAAGCAAGUAGCCUGAAGCAAGCGUGGCAGAAUGGCGCUGCGGAGGUGGGAAGGGGCCUCCGGAGGCCAUCUGGUCCGCCCCUCCUCGGGCAGGGGGAGAUGCUCCCGGCAGGCCUGGCAGGCCAGGCGCAGCUGCGGCGCCCUGCUCCGUCCUCCCCAGCCCGUGCUUUGCUCCCUGGCGCACAGAGAAAUGCAGCUAAAGGCAGGGUACAGCCAUAACCCGGUGGCCACAGGGGUUUGUUUUGAGGAGGUGUGGCGAUGGGGGAGUUGGUGCUCAGUGAAGGAAAUUUACUCCGAAACACUAAUGUGAUAGGGAAUACAGCACAGGCCUAAGGGAAACACGCAGGUUGAAUAUGCAGGGACAGGAUAUUGCUAUGGAAGAUCUCUUUGCUAACCAUUAACAUUAACAAGCACAGUAACCACCCAAAAAAAGUGAAAUCCUCAGUGGUUCAAAUGCAAAACCAUGAAGGACACUGCUGUGGAGCUGCCAUCAUGUUCCCUAUGCAUUCAUAGAUGCAUCAGUGUGGAAUGCAUAUAAAAGGUAAUGUCCAGAUGUCAUUUGUUGGGCAUGCUUCGGUAGGACUGGGAAAGUCAGGGGCAUCUGCAGCGCAACAUAGGCAGUGGAAGGGGGAAAGACGGAGAACAGGGUAAAGCUGACAGGCAGCAAAGCCAGACAUGUAAUACUUGAUGGAUUAGCUCUGAAAUGAUGGACAGAUGAGUGACGGGGGACUCCUGCAUAGACACAGCAGUUGCCAGUACAAGCAAACUCUAAGGGAAUGAUUUCACAACCUUCAACUGCAAUCAAAUGUCAGCUGUUGCCAAAAAGGUGGUUGCACAUCCAACCUACCCUCAGCAGUACCUCUGUGCCCCCUUCCUCAGGCAACCCCCAACGACUCUCUGACCCAACCAACCUUGUUCAGAGAACAAACCCCAUAGAAAGCUGGGGGGUGACAGCCUCGUCCCCGUGAGGUUAGACCAGUGCACAGAGCCAGGGAGCAGGACCAGCUGCUUCAGCAGUGGCUUGUCAUCAGAUUGCUACCUCUUCAAAAAUGGUGCUGUUCCCAUAGAAGCCAAUGACAUGCUUGAAAGCCAAGAGAAGUUAAGCCAUAGGUUUAACUACCUAGAAAGCUGGAAAACUCUUGCUGCCUUGAAACAGCCAUGUCAUCACCACAGAUGCUUAAAUUUCAGGGGAAGGGAACACGCCCGGGAGCAGCGCUGCUGGAGGAGUGCAGCCCAGGGCAGCUGAGGCAGGACAAGCUCCUGAGCAGUCUGCAGCUGGCAGGCAGUUUGAUGCCAGCUUCCAUGACAGUGGUGUGUCGAGUGACAGGGUGCUAGCAAGAGGUUUGCUGAGUAAUGUUAUCCUGGGGUCGUAAGAGGAAAGCAAGCAGCAUGGACUGCUGAGGCUAGGCCACCUCUGCUCUACCUGAACUGGGUGGCCCUGGGAGCACUGUCGAGCUACACCUCAACCCAGGUUAGGGGAGGCUCAGUGUGAGCUGGCCCCUGCUGCUUUCCGUAUACCUGGGUCUCCCACAUGGAACUGUGACAGCAGGGCAGGAGGAAGCCACCACAUGCUUCAACCUGGAUCGUUUGGGAUUAGGACCUUGGCCUCACCUCAUGACCCCACCACCCCCAGCCUCUUGGACCUAGCACUAUGCCUGGCCCUGCCUCAGCUCACCUCACAGCAGAACAGGGAGACACUGAUUAUGCUUUUGAACCAUUCCUGAACCUCUCCUUCCCUGAGGUUCCACCGAGUUAGGAGGCUGUAGCAUGUCAUUAUCAGCCUCAAAAACAUCAGAGUGGCCUCUCUAAGGCCAGGAAGGAUAGCCAUCUGACUUAAUGUACUGCACUUCUCCCUGCCCCCUCAAUACUGCUGAAAAGCGUUGCAGUGAGCUUUAUCACAGAUACUGGCUUUAAUAUUUCAUUGGCAAAGCUCUCCAGAAUGUAAUUUAUUCUCAUGCCGUGCAAAAUAUGACUGAGGUCCAAACAGUAUGAAUCACAGCUUGCCAUAAUAACUACUAAACACAUUGUGCCCCCAAAGCGAAAGAAUUUCCUGUCAGCAACUCUGGCAAGUAGUUUCUUUUUGUGAGACAAAAGGAUAAACAAUAAAUAAUAUCCCUGAUAACUGCAGGGAUCUGUGUUGUGCUAAGAGGUCUAUCGUAACUGGAAGGCCUUGCAGUCAAUAUGCUGGAAGCCUGGGCUUAUCAAUUCACUUCCCCAUAACUCAGUUUCUCCAUCUGUAAAAAGGUAAUAACAAUAUUUCUUACCUUUGCAAAGAGCCCUGAAAAGUACUGUGCAUGGGCAAAUUGUGUGAAAUUGUUAUGUUAUAUUAGGCAAUACAGGUGGAACACAAAUAUAUCUUUGUAUCUGACAUUUUUCUGAAUGGGAAGCAUCAUACAUUCCCAUUCUUCUGAAUGGAAAGUGAUUCUCUGUUUCGUUUUCAAGUUUCUUGACUCCCUUCAGGAUGCCUACUUCAGCCUGCAGUGCUUUCCCUUAUUAGAAUUUUAUUGCAUGCAUGCAGCUUUUUACAGUGAAAGCAAAAAUUAGAGUGGGAGGGUGUGACAUGCCAAGAUUAAAAAGCAGGGGGAGGAAAUCCACUUCUCUCUAAAACAUUUACCAUGAUGUAUAGUAUAUAUCCUUUUCCUCUCCACAGGUCUGGAAGGGGAAUUCUGAUACUGUUGCCAGACCUGGCUCUCUUGCCAGUUAUUCCAAAACCAGAUUGUUUUAGUUUUUCAGCUGUUGUUUAAUAAACUACCACAUAAUGCAUUUACGGAGGCAGGUCUUCAGCAAGCCUAAAUCAUCAUAAAGUGUUUAUUUAUUGUCACUUCUCAAGAUCUUAUUCCUUGUGCUUAGUAUCUGCACUGGUUUUAAUAUUUUGAAAGUCCAUUUCAAAAAGCAAGCUAUCCUGAGAUGACUGGGCUGAAUAAAUUGACACAGAAAAUAAGAGCAAAAAGCUCUUGCUGAAUCUCAUAGUAUUCAGUAUCCCUGAAAAGAGAUCACUUUAGCAUGGCCUGUAAUCCUACAAAUCCGGGGAUUUUUUUACUUCUUUACGAUGUGAGGAUGACAAAUUGAGUAAUCCCCACUUCUUGACUUUGCACAUAAAUGUAUCUGGCAAUGCCAAGUCUUGCGCAGCAGCGAGCAUCUAGGCAAUUGCCUGAAAACUAACAACCAACCAAACUGAUACUGAAACUGAAUCUUCUUAAAAAUUAGACAAAACUUCUGCUUUGACAGUACAUUGACCUUACUGUGUUAAAAGUAAGUAAAUAAGUACACUCUACUUCUUAUCUUCUGAUCUUACUUUCUGUAAACCCUGAGCUCACAUUCAGCCAUAGGCAGAAGGCAUGUCGGCUAUCCAUGUUCUGUCAGGAACUGAUAAGACCUGGGCUGGGUUCCCUUGAAGAGGCGUCACAACUUAGUUCUCAGAGGUGGCAAGAAGGGAGAUAAAAAGGAUGAUUGCUCAGAAAUAGCCAGCGGAAUGGUUUUCCUCUAAAAUAGAGCAAUUUGACAAAAAGCAACUCUUUCACCAGAAAUAAAUAACGAAGCCUUAAAAUUCAUAACUAGCACUGGGCUUGUUUUCUAACUGUGCUGAGAGGCAGGUCAAUGGAAUUGAAAGAGCUUGGAGGACUCAUUGACCUUUCUUUUAAUAUUUCUACUUGGUAUUGAACAUUGCUAAAGCACUUCAAAGCUUGUUUUCUGGAUAAAAGAGAUAGCACCCCGAUUUACUGCCGUGUAUCCACAGAACAGCAUUCAUUCAUCAUUUGAUAAACUGAUUGUCUUAAGGCCAAAUUUGGCUUUCGUUAUGUCACACUGAAUCUGCAGUAACUUCAUCAAAAUCAGUGAUGUUGCAGCAAGCUUUAUGUCUUGAAACUGAAGGGAGUCACCGCUGUGGUUUACUGCAGCAAAAAUCAGCUUUCGAGAAGCUGCUCUCAACAGGCAGAGUAGCUGCAAGACCAUCAUCUCCUUCUGCCUCGUACUCCUCUCGCUUCCCCUUCCAUUAACGGAUAUUAUCAACAGAAUAUGGAGUAUGCCAGGAUGAAAGGGCUGAGCCAGCAGAUGAGGCCAAAUAGGGGCUUUGCAGAAGGCAGGUCUCAAAAAAAAAGCAACCAACAGUUCAGACGGGAGGAACAAUGCUAGAGAAUGGCUGAGAAAGGCAUAUAGGAUAAUUUAGAUGUAGGUUAGCUGCCAUGGCAACCACGUACCAAAUUACUGCACUUCUGUGUCUCUAAACCUGCCAGCAGCUACUUGUGUUUAUAUGUAUUUUAGGCUUUAAAAAAAAAAAUGAAUCCACCUUAAAACUCACAAUGGCUUGCAAAUGAAGUACAGAUACUGGGAUUGCUGUGGGGUGUUUGAUUUAAACAUAUAGAAACAGAUAUAUAUGAAAAAUAAUAGGCCUUGACAAUUCUGAUUAAGUGGUUACAAAUAUGUAAUUUCUUUAACAUUUAUAGCAGUCAGUUCUAACCUUUAAUUUAUACUGCUUUGACUUGCACAUAUUUACCAGGACAACUUGACAUCUUUACCUCUAAUGCAUAUAUAAGAAUGAAAUUGGUCCUAGCAGCAGCUCUGUUUGGUUUUCACUGUGACAUACUGCCAUGUUAUAAAAAGAGUAAGAUGUUUUCUUUUAAUCCAGGGUUCUUUAGAAAUAUGGUAAAAUAUCGGAUCGCUAAAGAAUAGAAACAAGGCUAUCAAAAAGCAUGCUGCAAGGCACAUGUAUAUUUUAGUUACUAAGAAUAGUCCAUUGCUGAGUGUGAGUGAAAAUAUCCACAUGCGUUCCCUUGAUAAGCUAGGUAUGUAUUCAUUUCUCUGGGCACACGUGUGUCCUCAAAUGGAAAAAUAAUGUUACAACAACCUAACCUCUGCUUCCAGUUUAUACCUAUGUAAUCCUAGGGGAACACAGCCUUCACACCGCCUCUCUGCGGGAAGCCAAUAGACCAUAAUAUCCAUUGGACUUCUCAUAUACAGUCCAUGAAAACUCUUCAGAGCAGAAAGAUGUCAGUUUUGAAGUUCCCACUGACACCUGGUGAACAUCAUUGAGACGUUCAUCCAUCAGUUGAGAGCCAUUAGGGUGUGACCCGCCAAAGUCAGCAGGAAUCUUUGAAUCAGCUGCAGAAGGAGCUGUGGUCAGUGCCAGGAGAUAACUCCCCAUCCCACCACCAUCACAUGAUACUCAGUGUAGACUGUGGUAUUCAAUAAUCACAGCCUGCCUCUAGCCAAGAUGUUGAGCAGAGAUCUUUAUUUUGACGACAUUUUCCCAAUAGUUUCUGCUUAAUGGGAUAUGUCUUAAGAUUUCCUGUAUUUGGAAAAUUGAAAAGAGUUAAAGCUACAGUUCUCUAUUCCAUAUUUUAUUUUCUUGACCAAUAUCUAAGACACUAGCCCUUAAAUACCGCUUAUGAAAACCACAAUCCAAAUACUUACAUUUCCAGCAUAUUCACUACAUGAUCUGAGAACAUUCAGCUACUCUUGAGGCCCUUGCACUGUUGCUUGUAUGGUGGCUCGCUUUUGAUACAACAAUAUUCUCAUCCAGAGUUAGUUACUUGAUUUUUCUUGCAGAGUUUUCAUUUGCUUUGGUUAUUUUGCCUGCUGCAGUUACCUGACUGUGGCAACAGAGUCCCUCCAAAGUGCUUCCAAGCUACCUGGUUACCUAGAAAGCCUGGCGGUAUGUCUCCAGUGCACCUGGGAUUCUGCAUGGCCAGGACACUUCAGUGGGCUGUCUGUGAGUGGGCUGUGGGGCUGCUGAGAGCAGAUGAGUGGGAAGCAGAGCACGAGCACACUUAGAGCCAAGAAGCAUGUCUCCUUGGGUGUAUAGGUGUAAAUCACUAAGAUGUUCUCGGGUUAAGCAGCAUACCCUUGCCUGCCUGCCUUCUGCAAGUUAAAAUAAAAAAUCUGUUAUCUCUCUAAGUACACGGCCACCUGAGACAGCCUGGAUCAGUAUGAUUGCAGCUACUCUCAGCAACUGUUUAGUACCUUUGGGGAUGUGAAUCAUGUCAAGCUCAGGAAGCAGCAGCAAUGACAGGACUUCAAAGUCUACUGUUUGCCUUUAUAUCUCUCUCCCCUUCCAUAUACUUCUGCAAAUCCGUGUUCUUCUAACAUCACCUCCCAUUGAGAUUUGUGUCUGCUGAGCAAAGCAUCGGCUGCUGACAGACCAUUCCAGUGAUGUGGCCCAGUUAAGUACAGAUGAACAUCUGAUGUUGAUAUGUAAACCUGUACUCUGCUGCACAUGGUGUGAAUUGAGGGUUAUUAAAUAAAAGACAGUUAUUAAACUGAAGACAUUUUCAGACAUUAAAAUAUCCCAUACGCCUUGUCCAGCACAACAGGCACAGUCAUCAGUAAAUUUACGUCACAGAAGAUAAGAAUUACUGGUCUGGGAUGGGUCCCAUUUGCUUCCAGGUUGACAGCUCAUUGAUGUUUUCAACCAGUGUCUCUUUCCAAGCGACGAACUACUGAAACUGUCUUCCUUGUAUAUACUUUGUUCACUAAGCUGAUGUCUGUCUCCUUCUGCACCUGCUGGACACCUUGCAGUUGCAGGAUGUAUUGCUUACUUCCGUCUCGGAGCUCUUCAAGUGUUUCUGUGAUGUUUUAUUGUGGUAUUUUGGAAUCUCGGUCAACCCCUGUGCUUAAGCACCAGCAACACCCAGCAAGCUUCUAAUCUGUAAAGGGUUAAUUCAUGGUCUCCUUGUGGUCUCUUCUGAGGCUUUUGUUUGUUUGUUCUGGUCCUUUGGUCCUUUGUCUGGGACUUGAUUACAUGCACAACUUGAGACACGGGUUCUCAGGUUAUAUACUUUAUAGUUUCACUUUCCUUUGUGACUCCAGGUUAAAUCUACUCUCUCAAACAGUUCAUUUUACAUACGCAUGUAAAAGCAGCUGUUCUAGGUCAUAGCAAAGAUCCGUAUAGCUCCACAUCUCCUCUCAACAAUGGCAAGCAGUGGACACCAACAAGAAACAGGGCAGCUUUUGCUUCUGACUGUUGGAAACAACUUUGUAUCAUCAGCCAUCCACCGUCUUGGCUAUCCACCAUCUCUUCCAGCCCAUUUGUGAAUGUGUUGGACAAUGCAGGACCUCGCAUGGGCUCCUUCCCCUGCCUUCUUCUUGCAACUUCCUUUAAUUGUGAAAAAUGAUCAGUAGCUCCCACCUUUGGUUUUCAUCCUCUAACCACCUCUAAUCCACAAAAGGACUUUCCUUCACACUGAGGGGUUUUCAUGAGCCUUUUGGGGUAUCCUGUGAAAAGAUUUCUGGAAAAUACUAUUAUACAAAUGCUGGGGGAAAUUGGAAUGGGGGGAAGGGUGAGGAGCAAGGAGAUGUAUUUGUCUGUGAGACCAGAAAGUUUUUAGUCUUCCUUAUGUCUAAGCUUUCCCUUAACCUAAGCAAAGUGUGUAAUCUGACAGAGCAUUACUUGUGAAAAAGCAGUACGUUUCCACUGAAAUCUGUCUGGCAAUGCUGAUGACACAGGCUGGAUGUUCUGCUUAUCAGUAGACUUACUAAGUUUUGUUUGAUUAACUCAUGUCUUUGAAUCUGGUUCUGUAAGCAAAAAUACUUCUGUCUCUUCAUUGUGAACAAUUGUACUUUGUUCAGAAAGCAUCAAACCCACCUGGAGGGAAUGCAACGGUCAAGCUCUAGCUAGGCUUGGGUAGGGUUAAUGCAAAUUUACACUGAAGUCCACAAAGGCACAGUCAGGGUUUGUAUUUUUACUGCCUAACAUGAACAGCUUAUGCUGCCAGUGAAGUCAGUGAAGCUUUGUCAAUGAUUUCAGUAGGAAACGAACACUAUUUGUCAAAAAAGAUUCACUUGACCUAAUCUUUUUGUAAAUAAAGAAAGAAGACAUCUCGGGAAA